rnacentral:rRNA from 1 species
UACGUAGGGCGCAAGCGUUGUCCGGAAUUAUUGGGCGUAAAGAGCUCGUAGGCGGCUUGUCACGUCGGGAGUGAAAACCUUGGGCUUAACUCAGGGCUUGCUUUCGAUACGGGCAGACUAGAGGUAUGCAGGGGAGAACGGAAUUCCUGGUGUAGCGGUGAAAUGCGCAGAUAUCAGGAGGAACACCGGUGGCGAAGGCGGAUCUCUGGGCCUUACCUGACGCUCAGGCGCGAAAGCUAGGGGAGCGAACAGG